GAUGAACGCUGGCGGCGUGCCUAAUACAUGCGAGUCGAGCGAACAGACGAGGAGCUUGCUCCUCUGACGUUAGCGGCGGACGGGUGAGUAACACGUGGAUAACCUACCUAUAAGACUGGGAUAACUUCGGGAAACCGGAGCUAAUACCGGAUAAUAUAUUGAACCGCAUGGUUCAAUAGUGAAAGACGGUUUUGCUGUCACUUAUAGAUGGAUCCGCGCCGCAUUAGCUAGUUGGUAAGGUAACGGCUUACCAAGGCAACGAUGCGUAGCCGACCUGAGAGGGUGAUCCGCCCCCCUGGACCUGAGACCCGGUCCAGCCUCCUCCGGGCGGCAGCAGUAGGGCAUCUUCCGCCAUGGGCGAAAGCUUGACGGAGCAACGCCGCGUGAGUGAUGAAGGUCUUCGGAUCGUAAAACUCUGUUAUUAGGGAAGAACAAAUGUGUAAGUAACUAUGCACGUCUUGACGGUACCUAAUCAGAAAGCCACGGCUAACUACGUG
rnacentral:rRNA from 1 species